rnacentral:rRNA from 1 species
AGUGAACGCUGGCGGUAGGCCUAACACAUGCAAGUCGAACGGCAGCACAGUAAGAGCUUGCUCUUACGGGUGGCGAGUGGCGGACGGGUGAGGAAUACAUCGGAAUCUACUUUUUCGUGGGGGAUAACGUAGGGAAACUUACGCUAAUACCGCAUACGACCUACGGGUGAAAGCAGGGGAUCUUCCGACCUUGCGCGAUUGAAUGAUCCGAUGUCGGAUUAGCUAGUUGGCGGGGUAAAGGCCCACCAAGUCGACGAUCCGUAGCUGGUCUGAGUGGAUGAUCAGCCACACUGGAACGGAGACACGGUCCAGACUCCUACGGGAGGCAGCAGUGGGAAAUAUUGGACAAUGGGCGCAAGCCUGAUCCAGCCAUACCGCGUGGGUGAAGAAGGCCUUCGGGUUGUAAAGCCCUUUUGUUGGGAAAGAAAAGCAGCAGGUUAAUACCCCGCUGUUCUGACGGUACCCAAAGAAUAAGCACCGGCUAACUUCGUG